UGCCAGACUUGGUGGGGGAUACCUUUCAUC
rnacentral:piRNA from 1 species